AAAAAACUUCUCUAAAUGUAAUAGUUAUUGCUUUCUAAAUUCAAGGUUCUUGGUUAAACGAUUUCAUAAUUUUUAAUUUAAUCUACCUCUUAGGAAGCUUACGAUUUAGUCAUAGUUGAUCUCAAAGAAUCACACAUAUGAAUACCAAUAAUUGAUUCACCCAUACAAUAUUGAAUUUCAACACUAAAAUGAUAAGUCCAAUCGGGGUAGAACACCUCCAACCCUAAAGGCUUGCCAUUAAGUCACUAUUUUUAGUGUUGCUAGCCAUUGUUGAUUUCUUACAAUAACUCGCAAAAAUAUUCAAUAUCAAAACUCAUUGAAUGAUUAGUCUCCAUUCAGAAAUUGUCACUAGGCACAACAAUGUUG
rnacentral:misc_RNA from 1 species